GCAAACUUGGUCAUUUAGAGGAAGUAAAAGUCGUAACAAGGUCUCCGUUGGUGAACCAGCGGAGGGAUCAUUACAGAGUUGCAAAACUCCCCAAACCAUUGUGAACCUACCACUAAACAGUUGCUUCGGCGGGUGGCCGCGAGGGCCCCUUCACGGGGGCCGGAGCGCCCUAGACAGCCCGCCGGAGGUACCCAAACUCUUGUUUAACUAAAGGCCUCUCUGAGUACUGUACUUAAAUAAGUCAAAACUUUCAACAACGGAUCUCUUGGUUCUGGCAUCGAUGAAGAACGCAGC
rnacentral:misc_RNA from 1 species